rnacentral:rRNA from 1 species
GACGAACGCUGGCGGCGUGCUUAACACAUGCAAGUCGAACGGAAAGGCCCUGCUUUUGUGGGGUGCUCGAGUGGCGAACGGGUGAGUAACACGUGAGUAACCUGCCCUUGACUUUGGGAUAACUUCAGGAAACUGGGGCUAAUACCGGAUAGGAGCUCCUGCUGCAUGGUGGGGGUUGGAAAGUUUCGGCGGUUGGGGAUGGACUCGCGGCUUAUCAGCUUGUUGGUGGGGUAGUGGCUUACCAAGGCUUUGACGGGUAGCCGGCCUGAGAGGGUGACCGGCCACAUUGGGACUGAGAUACGGACCAGACUCCUACGGGCGGCAGCAGUGGGGAAUAUUGCAGAAUGGGCGGAAGCCUGAUGCAGCAACGCCGCGUGCGGGAUGACGGCCUUCGGGUUGUAAACCGCUUUCGCCUGUGACGAAGCGUGAGUGACGGUAAUGGGUAAAGAAGCAACGGCUAACUACGUG